UGGUCAGCACAGCUCCAAAAAAUCAUGGGGGGAAGCCAGCACAGCCCCUGAGAACAGCUCAGGUGAACAUUCUGGGGGAACAGCUCAGGUGAACAUUCUGGGGAUGAUUGGAGGAACAGCUCAGGUGAACAUUCUGGGGGAACAGCUCAGGUGAACAUUCUGGGGGAACAGCUCAGGUGAACAUUCUGGGGAUGAUUGGAGGAACAGCUCAGGUGAACAUUCUGGGGAUGAUUGGAGGAACAGCUCAGGUGAACAUUCUGGGGAAUCCUUGGAGGAACAGCUCAGGUGAACAUUCUGGGGAUGCCUGGAGGAACAGCUCAGGUGAACAUUCUGGAGGAACAGCUCAGGUGAACAUUCUGGGGGAUGCUUGGAGCUGCAGGUGCAGAAACCAAACCCACUCAAAGAAACCAAAGCUGGAGCAGGUCACUGAACCUGAGUUUGUGUGAAACCCAGAGCAUCAGAGACUUCUUUGGGUUGAAGAAUUUCUUCCUAAUACCCAGAGCAAACCUGCCCUCCUCCAGCCCCGAGGCAUUCCCUGUUCCUGUAGGAUGCCCUGGAUCCUCCCUGCCCCAGCCCAGCCCUGAGCUCUGCCCUUCCUGGGGCCAAUAUUCAAAUCUCAGCACGUAUUGCUUUGACCACCAAACUCCCAAAAAUCUCACUUUCAUUUAAACCAGGCCAGGCACCAGCCAGGUUCCCUGCUGCCCAUGCUCAUCUCCUCCCAGCUGGGCUGCCAGAGGGUUUUCACCCCUGGCUCUCCCUGGGGCUCAGCCCAGCAUGUCCCAGCCUGGGCCACCCCAGCCCAGAGCCCCAGGUGACCUCGUCAGCCACAUUUAAUUUGCUGCCUGUGGUUUAUCUCAGCCCUUGCACCUUCACACCAACAGAAAUGUAACACCAAGGGCGUUUAUGCAGGUUAAAAAAACCACAAACUAAAUACCAUAAUUAAAUUAAUUUGAAACCAAUUUCUGACCAUGUGCAGGACUCUACACACAAAAAAAAAAAAAAAAAAAAAAAAGAAAUAAAAAGAGCUGUGACAAAAGCUAUAUUUUGUUUUCCCUUCCUCUGCUCUUUAACAGUCUCUGAAUGAAAAGUCUAGUACAAUUUUCUAGUCCACUUGUUCCAGCCAGGGGGAAAACUGCUCGUUAUAAUUAGGCCACUUUCAUAACAGAUUUCCUGCUGCCCCUCCUCCCUGGCUGUGGCCAAGGCUCUGCACCUGAGGGCUGGUGCACAGCCCCUGCCCAGCCCUGCCCCAGCCCGUGGGCACCACAGCAAAGCCUGCAGAGAGAAAUCUCUCCAGGGUUUGGGCUGGAAGGAGCUCGGAGCCCCCAGGCUGAGCCCG